rnacentral:misc_RNA from 1 species
GCCAUCACCAAAUUUCCCCCAACACUGCCUGUAUUUCGAAUAAAUUCAGAAGCGAUUUUCUCCAUAUGAACCGCAAUUUUUUUGAACACCACCUUACAUUCUGAGAGCUGAGAUAAAUUCAUCUUUAAUUUCUUCUUUCAAAGCUUCAAUAACUUUAGAAAUAGUCAAACUUGCCCCAAUUUCAAUCCCAGACUGAUCCCUCCUAAUGACUGAGAGCUCAGGAAUAUGUGUGAGAUCAACAUAUUUGUCAUAGUGUUCUAG